CACACCUGUGCACCUUUCGGUUGCGGCGUGUCAAAGCGCCGCUUCCGCUUCAUAUACAACUACAGUCGAGAAUGUCUAAUACUAUAAAAACAAAAACAACUUUCAACAACGGAUCUCUUGGCUCUCGUAUCGAUGAAGAACGCAGCGAAAUGCGAUAAGUAACGUGAAUUGCAGAAUUCAGUGAAUCAUCGAAUCUUUGAACGCACCUUGCGCUCCAUGGUAUUCCGUGGAGCAUGCCUGUUUGAGUGUCACGUCAACCCUCACCCUCGAGAUGUUACAGUCGCGAGCGGUGGAUUUGGACCGUGCCGUAAUCGGCUCGUCCUGAAAUGCAUUAGCUUGCGCUUUUAGAGUGCUGGGCACCGGUGUGAUAAUUAUCUGUGCCAACGCCUUAAGCCUCUUCAGCGGCGCUGCUUACAGCCGUCCUGACGGACAAUCAUAUAAAGCUUUGGCCUCAAAUCAGGUAGGACUACCCGCUGAACUUAAGCAUAUCAAUAAGCGGAGGA
rnacentral:rRNA from 1 species